rnacentral:lncRNA from 1 species
AAGAGGUAUGUAAGACGUUGAGAAAAAGGGGAAGUCACUGAGGGAUUAAGAUGGUAAGGGUAUAGGGAAUAGAAAAAAUUUCAUGGCAUGGCAUGAAGUUGCACAUGACUUACGAGAAGGCUUCAGAAAAGAAUAUUUGGUGAACAAAUAAUGGCCCAUAGACGCUCACUGCAGAUGAACUGUAACUUGAUCAGCCAAAAAAAAAGGGGCGGGGGAGGGCAAAAGAUAAAAGUAUAAGGAGAUAAAGUACUUGCCUUUGGGAUGGGAGAAAAAUAAGGAUGUCUGUUUU